rnacentral:rRNA from 1 species
CACGUAGGGUGCAAGCGUUAAUCGGAAUUACUGGGCGUAAAGCGUGCGCAGGCGGUGAUGUAAGACAGAUGUGAAAUCCCCGGGCUUAACCUGGGAACUGCAUUUGUGACUGCAAGGCUGGAGUACGGUAGAGGGGGAUGGAAUUCCGCGUGUAGCAGUGAAAUGCGUAGAUAUGCGGAGGAACACCGAUGGCGAAGGCAAUCCCCUGGACCUGUACUGACGCUCAUGCACGAAAGCGUGGGGAGCAAACAGG